rnacentral:rRNA from 1 species
CAUCUCUUUAUGUAAAAUAUAUAAGGUAUGAUCUGCCCACUGAUUAAUUAAAUGGCCGCAGUAAUUUGACUGUGCAAAGGUAGCAUAAUAACUAGUUUCUUAAUUAGAAGCUGGAAUGAAUGAUUGGACAAGGGGAUAACUGUCUCUUGAAUAAUAUUUAUAAAUUUAUUUUUAAGUGAAAAAGCUUAGAUUUAUUUGAAGGACGAGAAGACCCUAUAGAAUUUGGUUUAAUAAAAAUUUUAGGAUACUGUAGUAGGAGCUUAAUUGGGGUGAUUUCAAGAUUAAAUUAACUCUUGAAUAUUUUAGCAUUUAUAAGUGUAUAUUGGAAUCUUUAUGAUUGUAAGAUAAAUUACCUUAGGGAUAACAGCGUAAUUUUAUUUUUGAGGCCUUAUUGAAAAUAGAGUUUGCGACCUCGAUGUUGGAUUAAAAUUAAAUUAGGUGUAGUAGCUUAAUUGUUAAGUCUGUUCGACUUUUAAAAUUUUACAUGAUCUGAGU